rnacentral:pre_miRNA from 1 species
AGAAUACUCCCUCCGUCCCAAAAUUCUUGUCUUAAAUUUGUCAAAAUACGAAUGUAUCAAGUCAUUUUUUAGUAUUAGAUACAUCUGUAUCUAGACAAAUUUAAGACAAGAAUUUUUGAACGGAGGAAGUACUAA